rnacentral:misc_RNA from 1 species
GCCGAGCUACAAAAGAUACGAGAGAAGUUUCAGGAUUCCGUUCACGAAGCUACUGGUGAUCCUGACUACCGACCUAACCCGCUUUCUCCCAGGGAUGUCUCCGAUCUACUCUUUAACAAACUCCGGCUCGUGGGAAGAGGCGCAUCAACCAACGAUGAGAAUCGCCAGCGUAUGUACAAAGACCAUAGAACUUCGAUGGCCGCACGGCGAGUACUUGAUAACUUGGAGAAGUAUAAAGAAGAAUCCAAGUUCCUCUCAACCUACGUCAAAACCGCCAUUGAUCCUGACAACAGAAUUAGAUGCGAAUGGAAACAGACAGGUGUACAGAAAGCCCCUGGAAGGUUAAGUUCUGCUAAAGUACCGUGGGGACAUUACAAUGGCAGAGAGUAUAUCCAACAUGGUAUGAAGCUACAGAACCAGCCCCCGCGAGCUAAGGAUAUGUUCAUUGCAGAUGAAGGUUAUGCCUUCUUCUACUUUGA